AGUAAGCUUGUUCUGAUCCUGAAUUCAAAUGGAAAAAAACAAUUACCUUUAGGGAGAAGAAACCUUAUACUUUCAAAGGGAUUGAUUCACAGUUAAGAUUUCGUCGUGAUCAUCAUUACUCUAUCAAAGGCCUUGGGGGCACUUCCGUCAAAACUAUCGCCGUACCAUUUGUUCGAUAGAUUAUGCCAAUGAGUGGCUAAUUCAAGUUAAUGAAACCUUCAGUUCUAAUACCUUUGCAGCUUAGAGUAAUUUACAGAGAAACUGUUGGUGAAACAGAUUCAAUAUACGUCAAUACGUGCGAUGCUUAAUUAAUGUUAUAGAUGGUUAAGUUUCAUACACUGAUUAAUUGAAAGCACUGGCUUAGAGCUGUAU